CAUCAUCCGCAAACGCUUCUUGUGUCUGGGAUGGGGUCUGCCCGCUUUAGUCGUCGCCAUUUCUGUCGGCUUCACCAAAGCCAAAGGUUACGGCACCGUCAACUACUGUUGGUUGUCUCUUGAAGGCGGACUCUUGUACUCAUUUGUGGGUCCGGCCGCUGCUGUCGUUCUGGUCAACAUGGUGAUUGGAAUUCUGGUUUUCAACAAGCU